UUAAAANAGUUUAUAUGUCCCUGAAUAUCAGUUAGAUGAAGAUGAACUUAAAUAAAUGCUCUUUGGGACUUCUGAUCAUGAGGGUAUUCAUCACCAGUGUCAUUUUUUUGCAUAUCAGCUGUGGGAUCUCUUGUGACUAGACUGUAUAAAUCCUGCUCUGCUCUUGUGAUGAAGAUUGUCAACAGUGUUAAUGAUGUCAUGGACACUUCAUAAUUCAAAAGAAAUAUGAAAGACGAAUCUUAUAUUGUAUUUAUUUUCUGUUAUUUUCAUGUUUAGAUAUUUAUAUUUGUUGAGCUUGUGGAGAUCACAAGCUUGUCGUGUUUGUGAUGAAAAGGGAACAGAACUUCAGAUCAUUCAGACUUGAUUGUUGUGUGUAUUCCAAGCAAAAAAGAAGCAUCUGAUGUUGUGUUCCCUUGAUGUGAUCUUUGUCAGAUUGUUAAGCAGUUUGACACUCUAAGUGAAAUGCUUUUUAAAGCAGUUCAUAAAAAUGAGUUUUGAACUUUUUGUUUUAAAACUGUGUUCCAUUGACUCUGUAAACAAUGCAAAAAAAAGAAAAAUUUAAAAUACUGAAUGGCUUAACUUCCAGACUUCAAAAAAUGGAAGCUGGAUAUAAUAUUUUUUAAGGACUUUAGUGUGCCUGUGAAUACUUUUAUUGUAUCAUAUGAGAAAUUUAGCUGUGUAAAAGAGUUCACUUUCAGUCGUCAUUAGGACAGGGUAGAAGGCCUUGCCACGAGAUGUUCGCACAGCUUGGAUCAUCUGUCAUGUUCAUUGAAAGCAUCAUCUGGUAUGCAGACGAUGCUAGUUUGUAAAUAUAUAAACUUAAGAGUAUAAAUCAAAUGCUCUUAAGGAUCAAAUUCAUUUCAUAUUGUUAGCUUGAAUUUGGUUAGUUGAGAAGAUUUGAAGAAGCAUUCUUUUGCUUCUUAUGUCUGAGACCAUGCUUGUCUGGAAUAACUCAACACAACUAGUCAUCUUGCAGAACAGUUAAAACAUGGCAAUUCAGUUGUGUAAAAUCUUUGCUCUCAUUUCUGUUUGAUAUUCUAUAAAAUAAAGAUGGUUUCUUAAAAGAUACCAUCUCCAGACAGGCAAGGUCUAUACUUUGUAGGUUUUCUACACCUAUUUUUGUAUUGUAUUAACCAUAAAGUUCAAUGAAAGCUUCUCUGGCAUAAUCUGCAAAAAAUAUUAUUCUAAAAAUUUAAAAAAAUUGAAAUCUUUUGACAAUUGAGUUUUGUAGAGGAUCUGGGGUUUUAUUAAGUAUAUAUGUUCCUAAAACAUUCAUUUCUAUUUCAUUUUCUAAUUAGGCAGAUAAUCCCAGAGAAACUUUCAUUAACAAAUGUAAAUAGUAAAUCACUCUGACAUCUUUAACUACGGAAACAGCCAACCUCUGUGCUGCACUGUUUACAGUUUUGGACAUGUGCUACUGAGAAUGCUUAAACUGGAAAAAAUGACUAGUGUUAAAAUGAAGAGAAUAAGGACCCUCUCAAAGAAGCCACAGUGCCAAUUUUACUGCUAACGAAAAGCAGUUUCAUAUCCCAUGAACUGCCAUUGCAGCAAUGUGGAAUAAAAGUGGACUUCAGUUAUUUCUUUGGUGAUGGUGUCCAAGAAGUUUAUAUAAACUAUAGUGUAAUACUGAAGCAGCAAGUAACUGCCAUUAAUAUGGACAGCAUUGCAUGACAUUUCAACAGUUGGCUUUCUAAAACAGUUUUUAAGUUCAAAGGUUAUAACUGAGUGUUUUGACAACUGAACUGCCUUAAGAUGAAGUACAUCAAGAUACAGAAUUUAGAAAACUCCAGAUCCUCUACAUAAUACAGUUUCUUCUAAGCUACAUUGGUUAUCAACACUUAUUUUUGUUUUCUGCUCACAGACUGAGGUAAUCCUUUAAUUAAAUACAAUGUAUCCUAGAAGAUAGCUGUAUUUACUGGUACAAAUACCACAAAAUCUGGAAACAUCUUGAAUGCUGAAGUAGUUGUGAUUGGGGGAAGUAUGUUCAAGUUGUCCAUCUUCAGAUUUUGUGGUUUGAGGAAAAUGCCAAUUAGUAAUUUGGCCACUAUUGGCUACUCAUGAUUUGUUCCUAAGAAGAAGAAACUUAACAAUACUUUUUUGAAAGUCCAUGGAAGUGUAAAGUAUUGUUGUUUGAUGGCCAAAACAAUAGUUGCUUAUCUUGGAAGGAAAGCGUCAAAACUUUUAUUGCAAAGAGUCUGUUUUAUUUUUCUUUUCCAUCAGAUUAAAAUUCACAUCUUUCCUUCCAAGAUUUUGCACUAUGACUUUUUUAUUUUUUUGUUUGAGUAAGAAUAAAAAAAAGUGAAUUCUUGGUAUGAAAAAAAAAUUGGCAAUGAACAAAUUUUGCAGUACAUUAGUAUAGCAGUUACUGUAGUUCUGACAUGCGCAGAACAUACAUCCUGCAAUAAUAGAAGAAAAUGGAAAAAGCACAAAUUGAAAAAAUAAAACCUUUUUUUGGCCUUGUGAUUUA
rnacentral:lncRNA from 1 species